rnacentral:rRNA from 1 species
GACAGAGGCCUCAAGCGUUAGGCGGAAUCACUGGGCUUAAAGCGUGUUUAGGCGGGUCGUUAAGUACCUUGUGAAAUCCCACGGCUCACCCGUGGAACGGCUGGGUAUACUGGCGAUCUUGGGCCAACUAGGGGCGACUGGAACAAGCGGUGGAGCGGUGAAAUGCGUAGAUAUCGCUUGGAACGCCGAAGGUGAAAACAGGUCGCUGGGGUUGUGCCGACGCUGAGACACGAAAGCCAGGGGAGCAAACGGG